ACUUGCUUAGCUUAAUAGGAUAAAGCAUUGAUCUUCUAAAUCAAAUACUAAGGGUUCGAAUCCUUUAGCAAGUA